rnacentral:rRNA from 1 species
GACGAACGCUGGCGGCGUGCUUAACACAUGCAAGUCGAACGGAAAGGCCCUGCUUUUGUGGGGUUCUCGAGUGGCGAACGGGUGAGUAACACGUGAGUAACCUGCCCUUGACUUUGGGAUAACUUCAGGAAACUGGGGCUAAUACCGGAUAGGAGCUCCUGCUGCAUGGUGGGGGUUGGAAAGUUUCGGCGGUUGGGGAUGGACUGGCGGCUUAUCAGCUUGUUGGUGGGGUAGUGGCUUACCAAGGCUUUGACGGGUAGCCGGCCUGAGAGGGUGACCGGCCACAUUGGGACUGAGAUACGCACCAGACUCCUACGGGAGGCAGCAGUGGGGAAUAUUGCACAAUGGGCGGAAGCCUGAUGCAGCAACGCCGCGUGCGGGAUGACGGCCUUCGGGUUGUAAACCGCUUUCGCCUGUGACGAAGCGUGAGUGACGGUAAUGGGUAAAGAAGCACCGGCUAACUACGUG